AGGAGCUGUCUUCCUACAAGCUGAGCAGCCCUCUUCUGGACUUGGCCUGAGUUGCAGAGAGUCAGAUGCCAGCGUCUCCAAGAGGAAGAAAGGUCCCCUGGACUUGAUAUGAGAGUAGAAGUCUGCUUGCUGGGCAUCGUUUGAAGACAGAGAGUGAGCUACUUAGGUUGGACCCAUGUGGAUAAGAGAGGAGACAAACACUAUGGGCUAGGCUAGAAGAACAUACACUGAGUCCUUUCCAGGAAUCUGCUAGAGCAAAGUGAGGUGGAAUUGGAAAGGAUUUCAGGGGUUCUUGGAAGCCCAGAAAAAGGAGCUGAACAUGCCUUUGCCAGAAAGCCACAAGCGGGAAACCUCAAAGACUGGAAGAGGACUUGCUAGGUGCCAUACUUUAUGCGCACUAUCUAAUCCCAGCUUUCCUGGCUGGCUCCAUUUGGUUUCCUUUGACCUUGGGGAGACUCUAUUACUUGGGAAUCCUCCAUCAUUGCAGCUUCAGGAUGAGGGACAGAAUGUCAAGUGUGAAGAUGCUGUUCUGCCACUUUCU